CUACGGGCGGCAGCAGUUAAGAAUAAUCUACAAUGCGCGAAAGCGUGACAGUUUGAGCCAGAGUGAUUUACAAUUUGUAAAUCUUUUGUGAAAUUUAAAAUGUUUCACGAAUAAGGACUGGGUAAGACGAGUGCCAGCCGCCGCGGUAAUACUCGCGGUCCAAGUCGCAGCCAUUUUUAUUGGGUCUAAAACAUCCGUAGCUUGCUUGAUAAGUUUCUUGUGAAAUUUUAUAUCUCAAAUAUAAAGCGUGCAAGAAAUACUGUCAAGCUAGAGACUGGAAGACGUAAGAAGUACGUUCGAAGUAACGGUAAAAUGUGUUAAUCUCGAGCGGACUCACAACAGCGAAGGCAUCUUACGAGGACAGUUCUGACAGUAAGGGAUGAAGGCUAGGGGCGCAAAACGGAUUAGAUACCCCCGUAGUC
rnacentral:rRNA from 1 species